AAAAGCAGAGGACAGAGCAGAAGAAGCUUUGGAAGGGAUUGCAGCCGAGACCUCUGCACAGCUAGUGGCAGAGAUACACCAUAGACCCGAGCAGCUCCGAGAAGACCCAGAGGGAUAGAGACGAUGACCCUGAAACCCCCCCAUGCAGACCCUGGACAUUCAAGUGCAGAGAACAGAAAACAAACCCAGAGUCCUGAGAGGAGCUGGAGGGAAGUCUUCCCCGCUGUGGAUGGACAUCGUGUCCUGUCCAGAGCCGCAGCAGGAAAACAGUGAGAAAUACACAAAACCACCCUCCCAGAAGUCACUGAAACUACCGUCCAAGGUGGAGGAGGCACCGCCUCCUUCAAGCCACGAUGGAGAGCAUGCAGCCCAGGGCCGGCCUCGUAGGCAGCGCUGGACGACGUCCUCGGGCCAGAGCUUGGCUUCACCGGGAGACCAGGAGGCAGCACAGAAGCAACAAGAGUAAGGUAAGCUCCUUCCUUUUCCCAUCCAGUGGCGCUCAGAUCGGGCGCCCCUCUCCACCUCUGCUGGUUGCUGGGCGGGGGCAGCCUGGGGGCAGGAGUGUCGGGCUCCCAGGGGCUCCCUCCCUGUUGGGCACAGCCGCCACCCCCUGCAGUGGCUGGAAGGUCUGAGAAGAGGCUCAGCUUUGGAAACUGGGCAGAGGAGCAUCACUUACUGGAAGGAGGGUGGCUGCUCCCCAGUGCCUGCCCCUGAGCCUCUGCCCCCACACCCCACUGGCUCAGCUCCACUGUGUUGAACCCAGCACCCUUGCACCUGCUGCCCUUGAACCCAACGCCCUCGCACCCAGCCCCCUGACACCCAGCAUCCUGGCACCCAGCGUCCUGGCACCCAGUGUCCUGGACCCAGCACCUUCAUACCCACUGCCCUCACACCCAACACCCUGGCACUCAGUGCCCUCGUACCCAGCGCCUUGGCACCCAGUGCCCUCGCGGAGCCUGGCCUCCUCCUCUCAGGCUUCUUCCCUCACCACCUUGCACAGUGCAGAAAUGGUCUUUCUGUGCAUCUGUCUCCUCUUGGCGUGCCUCGCUGUGAGUAACCCACUCAACAAAUGUUCACUGAGCACCUACCAAGUGUCGGGUGCUGUUUUAGGCACUGGAGAUACAACAUGAGCAAAAUGGACACAAAUCCUCAAGAGGGGAGACAGAAGAUAAGCAAAGUGAGCCCACGAAAUCUGCGCUAUGCCCGUUGGUGACACAUUCACAGAGGAAAUCAUAGCCAGGGACAGGGUGAGGUGCCAGUGUGGCUGGAGUGCAGGGAGCAGGGGGGUGGGAGGUGGUGGCAGAGGUCAUGCAGGGCCCCGGGGCCUUGUGAGGGUGAGGCCCUGGCUUGAGUGGGGUCACUGGCUGGUGAAGCUGGGACCAGGCAGCAGUGGGGGAGCAUCCGGGAGAGCUGGUGGGGGCCUGGGCCUAGUGGUACUGGGCAGGGGGAAGGCUGGCAGGAGUCUGUCAAGGUAGAGCAACAGAUGGGAGGUGUGUGGAGGGUGAGGGUUAGAGUUAGCUCACUCUGCAUCUUCCAGUUUGGUUGGAGAUGGAUGUGAGAUGGAUCUGCCCUGCAAAGCUCUGAGCUGGUGGCCAGAGGGGAGACGUAUCAGAAGCUGCCAAGGGAGCAGAUGCAGAUGAGUGGGAAGAGACCCAGAGACCAAGUCCUGGACCUUCCAAAGUUUUGGGGGCAGAAGAGGGCUUCAGGGAGUGAAUGGGGCAGCAGGGAAGGCAGGUGGUGGGGAGCAGAAGGGACGUGGGGCCUGGCAGUGCAUGCUUGCCAGCCUGCUGGCCUCUCGACCAAGCUGGGCUCCCUGCAGAGGUAGGUUCCCCACCUGCCAAGGCUUCCUGUACCUGAGCCCGAGCCCAUCCCACAGCUCUGAAACCUUGCAUCCUGACUGUGAAGAUUUGGCUCUAAAAAUAGGUGCCAUGUGGGGGAGGAGACAGGUGGGAAGCGGUGCCCCCGUCCCCCUGGCUGCCAGCGUCCUGGCACACAGCCGUCUGGCCUGGCAGUUCUCUCAGCUGGCAGAGGCCUGGUGCAUCCUGGCACAUCCCCAGGAGAAAGCAGGCUGGCAACUUGGCAGACCGCCCCCAGGGAGCCCCUGCCUCACCUCUACUGUGCAUGCCCCAAGAGCCAGCUGUGUGGCGUGAGCCUCACUGCCUGGUCGCCUGGCCCCACACCGGUCUUUCCAACCCCGGCACACCUUUGGGCAGGUCCUGUGAUCUGUCCAUGCUUCCCACUCCUCCUCCAGACAGUGCUCAUUCCGUGGGGCCAUGCAAGGAUCUCAAGGGUGAAAAUACGCCAAAGGCCUUAUGUGGCUGGGGUAGGUCAAGCUCAGUGGGUGUGGUGAUCCUCAUUGGCUUUCAUCCUCUCAGCUUUGCUCGGGGACCUUUCCUCCACCUGCACGCUGGUAUCACCUCCUCACCUGGCCUCCCAGGUGGCCUUCGGGUGCAUCCCCAGGGGCAGGUGAUGCAUCUCUGUGAUUCACUCUCCAACCUUUCGUGCAGCACAAUGACACCUCACCCCUGCUCUGUCUGUGUCAGGUGGGGCCACGUAGCAUCUUGGCCCAGUGCAAGGUGUGGCGACUGAGGUUUGCUCUGUUGAGCAGCAUCAUUGGUGCCUGAGGGGGGGCUCAUUCUGUGUCCCAGGAUGAGAAGUGCCACAGCCAGCCUGUCCCUGCCAACUAGUACUGUGAGCAAGAAGUAAACUUGGUUAGAAGCCCCAGGGUCGGGGUUGUUGGUUACUGUCGCAGAGCUGACCAGCACACCAGACAGCAUCAGCUUCCCGCCCGCUGCACAGACCCUUGUUUUUUUUUGUUUUUGUUUUUUGUUUUGUUUUGUUUUGUUUUUGCACAGACCCUUGUUAACAUCAGCUCUCCAGACAGUAAAUAGUAAAUGCACGGGUCUUACCUAUGUAGGCCAAUGAGAGUGCGCCGCCGUGUGAGCCCAUACUCUCCUCUUUCCAGGCAAGAUAGAACAUGCCCGUCACUUGGUACCUCCUUAAAAUCAAUUCCCCUACCCCAGUUCAAUCACCCCCUGAUUUCUCUCCUAAUGGGGCAACUGGACUGUUGCAGUAACAGGACCAUGGGGUACAUGCUUUCUGUGCCCAGUGUCGUGGCUUGUCAUGGUGUUCUUGGGAAGUGUGUGUGUUGUGAGUCACCACAUCUCAGGAUGCAGACACCCUUCCCAUAUGAACGCACUCUGGGUUGUGUGCACAUUUUAUGACGACAAGUACGGCUGCUGUGAAAUCUGGUGUACGAGACCCUUUGUGAGCACAUGGCUUCCCUUCUGGAAAUUCCCCUGUGAGUAAAACUGCUGGUUACAUACACAGUAUAUUUACUUUUGUAAGGAAUUUCCAAACUGGUUUCUCAAGUAGUUGGCCUAGUUUCAUGUUCCCACUGGCACGUCGAGGGUUCCACUGGUUCCCCUUCCUUGCUGACAUCGGAUAUGGUCAGGUUUUGUGUUUUCUGUUUUAAAUUGUAAUCUUUUUAGCUGAUGUGCAAUGACAGCCAGUUGGGAGUUUUAACUGGCAUUUCUCUGACGACCAGUGAUGUUGAGCGUCUUCUCAUGUGCUUGUUGGCCAUCAGUACCUUUUACACCAGUGUCUAUACACAUUUGGGCCGCAUCUUAUUGGGUGUUUGUAUUCUUAUUAAGAAUAUAUAAUGGGUUGGGACGCCUGGGUGGCUCAGCGGUUUAGUGCCUGCCUUUGGCUGAGGGUGUACUCCUGGAGACCUGGGAUCAAGUCCCACAUCGGGCUCCCUGCAUGGGGCCUGCUCCUCCCUCUGCCUGUGUCUCUGCCUCUCUCUCUCUCUCUCUCGUUCUGUCUCUCAAGAAUAAAUAAAUAAAAUCUUAAAAAAAAAAAAAA
rnacentral:lncRNA from 1 species